rnacentral:rRNA from 1 species
GACGAACGCUGGCGGCAUGCCUAAUACAUGCAAGUCGAGCGAACAGAUGAAGUGCUUGCACUUCUGACGUUAGCGGCGAACGGGUGAGUAACACGUAAGGAAUCUACCUAUAAGCGGGGGAUAACAUUCGGAAACGGGUGCUAAUACCGCAUAAUAUCUUCUUCCGCAUGGAAGAAGAUUGAAAGACGGCUCUGCUGUCACUUAUAGAUGACCUUGCGGUGCAUUAGGUAGUUGGUGGGGUAAUGGCCUACCAGGACGAUGAUGCAUAGCCGACCUGAGGGGGUGAUCGGCCACAUUGGGACUGAGACACGGCCCAAACUCCUACGGGAGGCAGCAGUAGGGAAUCUUCCGCAAUGGGCGAAAGCCUGACGGAGCAAUGCCGCGUGAGUGAAGAAGGCCUUCGGGUCGUAAAACUCUGUUAUAAGAGAAGAACAAAUUGUAGAGUAACUGCUACAGUCUUGACGGUAUCUUAUCAGAAAGCCACGGCUAACUACGUGCCAGCAGCCGCCGUAA